rnacentral:rRNA from 1 species
GAUGAACGCUGGCGGCGUGCCUAAUACAUGCAAGUCGAGCGAACAGACGAGGAGCUUGCUCCUUCGACGUUAGCGGCGGACGGGUGAGUAACACGUAGGUCACCUACCUAUAAGACUGGGAUCACUUCGGGAAACCGGAGCAAACACCGUAUAAUAUUUCGCACCGCAUGGUUCGAUAGUGAAAGAUGGCUUUGCUGUAUCUUAUAGCUGGUCCUGCGCCGUAUUAGCUAGUCGUUAAGGUCACGGCUUACCACGGCAACGAUACGUAGACGAACUGAUAGGGGGGUCGGCCGCACGGGAGGUGAGACACGCACCAGACGCCUACGGGAGGCACCAGUAUGCAAUGGGCCGCAGUGGUCGAAAGUAUGACGCAGCAACGCCGCGUGUGUGAUGGCGGCCUUCGGAUCGUAAUGCUCGGUUAUGAGGGAUGAACCGCCGUGUAAGUAAACGAAGACGGCGUGACGGUACCGAAUCAGAAAGCAACGGCUAACUACGUG